rnacentral:tRNA from 1 species
AGGGUGCUAGGUCAAUGGAAGAGCACUUGCCUUACAAGUAGGGGUUGGUGGUUCGAUUCCUCUGUGCCCUA